AUUGAACGCUGGCGGCAGGCUUAACACAUGCAAGUCGAGCGGAGGGAGGUAGCUUGCUACUGAUCUUAGCGGCGGACGGGUGAGUAAUGCUUAGGAAUCUGCCUAUUAGUGGGGGACAACAUUUCGAAAGGAAUGCUAAUACCGCAUACGUCCUACGGGAGAAAGCAGGGGAUCUUCGGACCUUGCGCUAAUAGAUGAGCCUAAGUCGGAUUAGCUAGUUGGUGGGGUAAAGGCCUACCAAGGCGACGAUCUGUAGCGGGUCUGAGAGGAUGAUCCGCCACACUGGGACUGAGAGACGGCCCAGACUCCUACGGGAGGCAGCAGGGGGGAAUAUUGGACAAUGGGCGGAAGCCUGAUCCAGCCAUGCCGCGUGUGUGAAGAAGGCCUUAUGGUUGUAAAGCACUUUAAGCGAGGAGGAGGCUACUUUAGUUAAUACCUAGAGAUAGUGGACGUUACUCGCAGAAUAAGCACCGGCUAACUCUGUGCCAGCAGCCGCCGCCGUA
rnacentral:rRNA from 1 species